rnacentral:rRNA from 1 species
UCAGAUUGAACGCUGGCGGCAGGCCUAACACAUGCAAGUCGAGCGGUAGCACAGAGAGCUUGCUCUCGGGUGACGAGCGGCGGACGGGUGAGUAAUGUCUGGGAAACUGCCUGAUGGAGGGGGAUAACUACUGGAAACGGUAGCUAAUACCGCAUAACGUCGCAAGACCAAAGAGGGGGACCUUCGGGCCUCUUGCCAUCAGAUGUGCCCAGAUGGGAUUAGCUAGUAGGUGGGGUAACGGCUCACCUAGGCGACGAUCCCUAGCUGGUCUGAGAGGAUGACCAGCCACACUGGAACUGAGACACGGUCCAGACUCCUACGGGAGGCAGCAGUGGGGAAUAUUGCACAAUGGGCGCAAGCCUGAUGCAGCCAUGCCGCGUGUAUGAAGAAGGCCUUCGGGUUGUAAAGUACUUUCAGCGAGGAGGAAGGCAUUGUGGUUAAUAACCACAGUGAUUGACGUUACUCGCAGAAGAAGCACCGGCUAACUCCGUGCCAGCAGCCGCGGU